UCACAGCGGAACCGUUAUUGCCAACGAAGCUGAAGCUGGCAGCUAGAGUUAGCAGUCAAACGUGUUGAACGUUUUGGAAAUAGAAAAAUGCAGUUCAGAGAUAUUCUCAUAAUUCUAUAAAAGCAUUGAGGUUUCAAGAUAUUUCA